UACGUAGGGUGCAAGCGUUGUCCGGAAUUAUUGGGCGUAAAGAGCUUGUAGGCGGUUUGUCGCGUCUGCCGUGAAAAUUCGAGGCUCAACCUCGAACUUGCGGUGGGUACGGGCAGACUAGAGUGUGGUAGGGGAGACUGGAAUUCCUGGUGUAGCGGUGAAAUGCGCAGAUAUCAGGAGGAACACCGAUGGCGAAGGCAGGUCUCUGGGCCACUACUGACGCUGAGAAGCGAAAGCGUGGGGAGCGAACAGG
rnacentral:rRNA from 1 species